rnacentral:rRNA from 1 species
AUGUGGGUGCAGCAGGACCAAGCGAUCCUCUCUGCCAUCCAGGGUUCCCUCGGCGACGGGGUCGCUGGCCUUUGUCUCUUCGCUGCCACCUCCAUGGACGCCUGGACGACCCUGGAGCACGCCUUUGCCCAUGUCUCUACCUCCCGCUCGAUGGCCCUUCGCAGCGAACUCGCCGACAUCAAGAAGCUGGACUCCUCCGCUACGACCUACUUCAACAAGAUGAAGGUGUUGGCGGACACGCUCACCUCUAUUGGUCGGCCGCUUAGCGACGAGGAGUUCGCCGGCUUCGUCAUCAAAGGCCUCGACGCCGACUACGACAAUCUCGCCGAGGCCGUCCACAACGCCAAGCCAGCGAUGCCUCCUCACGAGCUCAACUCAUGCCUCCCCUUCACCGAGCAACGCGUCGAGGCUCGUCGCUCCUCCGUCACCAUCACCGCCCAGCCGGCGGCCUUCUGGGCCUCUCGUGGCCAGCGCCCACCUGCCCCGUCACCAGGCAAGGCAGCCCCGCCCCCUGCAUCGACCCUGGGUGGGGGCCCUAACACUAGGGUGGUGUGCCAGCUAUGUGGUCGUGAACGCCAUGUCGCCUCCAAGUGUCACCGCCGCUUUUAG